rnacentral:rRNA from 1 species
GACGAACGCUGGCGGCGUGCUUAACACAUGCAAGUCGAACGGAAAGGCCCUGCUUUUGUGGGGUGCUCGAGUGGCGAACGGGUGAGUAACACGUGAGUAACCUGCCCUUGACUUUGGGAUAACUUCAGGAAACUGGGGCUAAUACCGGAUAGGAGCUCCUGCUGCAUGGUGGUGGUUGGAAAGUUUCGGCGGUUGGGGAUGGACUCGCGGCUUAUCAGCUUGUUGGUGGGGUAGUGGCUUACCAAGGCUUUGACGGGUAGCCUGCCUGAGAGGGUGACCGGCCACAUGGGGACUGAGGUACGGCCCAGACUCGGACGGGACGCAGCAGUGGGGAAUAUUGCACAAUGGGCGGACGCCUGAUGCAGCAACGCCGCGUGCGGGAUGACGGCCUUCGGGUGGUAAACCGCUUUCGCCUGUGACGAAGCGUGAGUGACGGUAAUGGGUAAAGAAGCACCGGCUAACUACGUG